ensembl:lncRNA
CUAGGGGUCAGCUUCCGCCGCAACCUUGCAGACCUUACGCUUUUUCAAUUCAUCAGGACUAUCACUUGCCCUUAUUUAUGUUCAAAACAAAAAUUUCCAUUAGGAAAAAAAUAUUACAUUCCACAAUUGGUUACUGCGAUGGUUCCUCAGGACAUUUGUCCGUUUUCAGUGUCUAGCUGUGACAGGCCAGUUGGGGCAGCAUGUUGCCCAGCUAGAGGAACCAUAGCCCAUCUGUUGACAUCAUGCGUUCCCAAAGAUGACAUGCAUGGACCGUGUUACCUCCUCGGCCUCCAACCCAAGGCAGAACGUCAGCGUUUUCUCUGGAUCCAUGACGGGAGACGGAUACCGGCGCAAAAUACAAAACAAGGCCGUGGUGGCUCAUCGUCUGGGGAUGCUGUGUUGACACAAGCUCUUUGUCUGAGGUCCUGAACAGAACAAGAGGUCCCAGGAGAACCUCUGGGAUAGACGGAGAACACAGAGGACUCUGCGCGUCAGGCCAGUGAAAACACGGCACUCCGGACCUCAGGACGUUGCUGUCGCUGUUGUUGUUGUUGUUGUUGUUGUUGUGGUUUGCUGCGCUACAGCUACAUACAACCGCAGCGUAGAUUAGUAUGGAUCAACUUGUGCCGCCACGACAACAGUUUGAAGUAAAACGUAGAGAAGUGCUGCAGUAUGGAACUCAACUAAAAUGUUGUAUCUUCGUCAUUCAUUACAAAUGAGAAUAAUGUUAUCAUGCCUUUCCUCC